rnacentral:rRNA from 1 species
AUUGAACGCUGGCGGCAGGCCUAACACAUGCAAGUCGAGCGGAUGAAGGGAGCUUGCUCCUGGAUUCAGCGGCGGACGGGUGAGUAAUGCAUAGGAAUCUGCCUGGUAGUGGGGGAUAACGUCCGGAAACGGGCGCUAAUACUGCAUACGUCCUGAGGGAGCAAGUGGGGGAUCUUCGGACCUCACGCUAUCAGAUGAGCCUAGGUCGGAUUAGCUAGUUGGUGGGGUAAAGGCCUACCAAGGCGACGAUCCGUAACUGGUCUGAGAGGAUGAUCAGUCACACUAGAACUGAGACACGGUCCAUGCUCCUACGGGAGGCAGCAGUGGGGAAUAUUGGGCAGUGGGCGAGAGCCUGGUCCAGCCAGGCCGCGUGUGUGAAGAAGGUCUUCGGAUUGUAAAGCACUUUAAGUUGGGAGGAAGGGCAGUAAGUUGAUACCUUGCGGGUUUGACGUUACCAACAGAAGAAGCACCGGCUAACUUCGUG